rnacentral:lncRNA from 1 species
GUUAGCCAGAGGUAAACAUCAUUGAUUACCAGUAUGUUUGACACCCAAGCUGUCAAGUGAAGCCAUAUAAUUAUACAUCUUCUUUGAUUUACAGAGGUAAAAUUUAACACAGGUGUCAAUUACACCGGUACAGUAAUAAGAAAUGAUCAAAUAUGGCGUCCGAAAAUUUUCAUUCAUGAAAUAUUUCAUACACGGGAGUUUUUUCUCCUAAACGGGAGGACGGGAGGAGACCCCUGAAAACGGGAUUAUUGUACUCCCGUCGGGAGGUUCACAUGUAUGUCACUAUAACUCUGGACCACCACCGUUUGAAUAAUACCUUUCUUACCACAGAUUACUGUAACAAUAGUUUUGAUUGAUUUAAAUAACUUAGUUUACAUAUUCAAUAAGUUUUUCCAUUACGGUACUUGUCAUUCAGUUUUAAAUUUUCAUUGAAGUGAUUGACAUGAGUUGGAAAAGUAUUGAAUUUGUAUGUUAUCAUCCACUAUACAUUAGCAGGGUAUCAAUGUUAAAACACAAUGUUGUUAACAAAGCAUUUCAUGUAUGUUACAAUUCAGGAUUGCUGUAGACAAGGAUUUAUAUACAUUUUACUGUAUACCUCCUUUAUACCUGAAAACAUUGUUUACAUAGUAUUGUUAUAUAAACUUUGUGUAUUAAAUUCAUCUACCUUGUGAAGCAGGAUCUUUAUUUGUGUAUCUUAUUGAUUUUUUAAUUUAUAAGGUAUAAGUGAUUGUAUGAAAGAGUUGUGUCCCUUGUGUUUAUCACACAAAAUGAUUUCAAGUUGUAAUUUGACUUGAUUAGUAAUAAAGAAUGAAUGUAUGAAUUGGGAUAUGUCACUUACAUUAGUAAUGGUAACAUGUUUUAAAGAUAUUUUUUUUCUGCUCAAUUAGAAUCUUAUAGAUUUAACAAAAAAAUAUGCUGUUUUAAACCAUGAAUGCAUGAAUAUAGUAUAAUUGCGUUAUGUACCUUACAUCAAUGAAAAUAUAUUUUCAAGAUGCAUUCAUUUUGUUUGAUUAUAAGUUGUGUAUUAUUUGAAUGCAGUUAUGCUUCCAAUUUUAUUAUGUCUAAUACAAAACAUUUACUUUCUUAUACUGUUGUCCUCUUUUAUUAUAUAUAGCGUAACUAAUUCACAUAAAGUCAAUAUACCGGGAAUACGGCAUAACAUGGCUUGAACUAAGUACUUUUAUGACUGGUUCUAAUUUAGAUACAUAAUUAACUCAAAUGUUUGAUAUUCUUGACAUCCUGAACGAAAUGAAAAUGCAACAGUAUAUCUUGCUUAAUUUAAGGGCUCCUAGAAUUAAAAUAUAUUUUGAAUGAUAGGCCCUAUCAUUUAAAAUAUAUUUUAAUUACCGUAUCAGAUAGGUUAUAUAUAUAAGCAUGCCAAAUAGAAAGUUCAUUCUUUAAAUUAUCGUAGUUUUUGUCCUAAUAAUUAAUAGGAUAAAAUUUUAUUCUCAAUCUUGAAGCCAUCUUAUUGUAUCACUGUCAUAGCAUCUGGGUAAAUGUGAAACAGCUUUGAAGUAUUUGUAAUGCUUUUUCAAGUAAAUAGGUUACGAAAGGCUUUGAAAUUAUAAUUUUUGUUGUUUAUGCCUGAUUUGUUGCUUAUUGUGUUAAUUGACAUGGUUUUUACCCUGUAGGAUCAUCUCAGCGGAGAUCCUUAAAAAUAAACAUAGGACAAUUGAAAUAAACACAUGUACAUUGAUUUUAUAAACUAUAUUUAUUGAUAAGAAUUAAUUGGAAUAUUCUUAGGAAGAAUAUACAAUCAAUGAAGAGUAAAAAAUGUUAAAUAUAUAUAUUUAAUAAUGUUGCAGAAUUUAUGAUUUUUGUUGAAUUGCUAAGAAUGUCUUUACAUUAUAUUAAAGACUUUGAAUC